ensembl:lncRNA
GAAAAACUGUGUCCAUAAUUUUAGACAAUCCAUAUAAUGAAGCCAUGAUAUAUGUCACCAGAGUAGGGCUUGAAUCCCAGUUCUACCAUUUACCGGGUAUGCCCUUAGAUUCUGCAGUAACUUUGAUCUGAGAUAUGAAGGACCAGUAGAAAUUCACCAGGUAAAGAGAGGAAGAGCAUGGGCACAGUAUGAGCAUAGGCUCUGUGCCAGGAUGGAAGUCAGCCUCAAUGGAUUACUCUAUCAAGGUCACUGCCGUGAACUGCAGAAAAAAUGGGAACAUAAUGAAGUAAAGUUUAAAUAGACCUAACAAAGCCUUGAUUCAAUGUUCCUGGGAUACAGUCUCUUCACUUGAAAAUGCAUAUUCCAGAAUUCAGUUCCACCUGAGAUGGCAGAGGUUCUGAGAACCAUCUGGGGGUUUGAUGUGAUGUGAACAUUUCUUUCGUACUGUUCCUUUUUCCUAUUUGCAUUUAUGUGAUUGACCAUGUG